rnacentral:lncRNA from 1 species
UUGAGAUGUAGUGAAAUGCGGAUAAAUACACAAUAUGUAAAUGUAGAGGCUCGGAAUUCCUCAUCAAUAUAAAAAAUUUAGUUGCUCUAUCGUGAGGUUAACGAAAGUAUAAAUUCCACUCAACCUUGCAAUUUCAUGUACCACAAUAAUUUUUUUUUAUGCUUAUCGACAAACAAAUUAGUAUGUGUCAAAUAUAAUUACACUUGUUAAAUUGAGGCACAUGUCAUUUUAAGAACAGAGACUUUG